CUGCUGUGGUUAAAACUCAGUUCAGUGCUCUACCAGAAUGUACAAGGAUAUGUCUUGUCUUUUACAGAGGAAGAGGGACCUGCUGUGGUUAAAACUCAGUUCAGUGCUCUACCAGAAUGUACAAGGAUAUGUCUUGUCUUGUACAGAGGAAGAGGGACCUGCUGUGGUUAAAACUCAGUUCAGUGCUCUACCAGAAUGUACAAGGAUAUGUCUUGUCUUUUACAGAGGAAGAGGGACCUGCUGUGGUUAAAACUCAGUUCAGUGCUCUACCAGAAUGUACAAGGAUAUGUCUUGUCUUUUACAGAGGAAGAGGGACCUGCUGUGGUUAAAACAAGAACUGCGCUCAAAGGUUGGACAAUGGGUCCUGGAAUAAUAGUUUGCAUUUGUUGUAGUGGAGAACCAUUCUAUCUAUAUUAUAGAUUCAUUCUAUAACAUAGAACAGUUCCAAGGCUUUCCAGUCAGUACGUUCUGGUAAUAUUAUCUACAUGAGGUCCCAUAGGUUGGCCCAUCUACACAAAAGGUGCUAUAUAGAACCGAAAAAGGUUCUUCAGCUGUCCCCAUAGGAUAACCCUUUGAAGUACCCUUUUUGGUUCCAGGUAGAAACUUUUUGGGUUGCCAAAACGGUUCUACCUGGAUUCAAAAUGGAACCAAAAAGGGUUCUACUUGGAACCCAAAAGGGUUCUCCUAUGGGCACAGCCAAAUAAGCCUUUUGGAACCCUUUUUUCUAAGAGUGUAAUAUUCAAUUCCGUUUCUCUUCUAGAAACUGAUUAAAACUGUCUGAAAGUUGAGGGUAGUCUCUGAUAGAAAGCUUGAAUCAUUAAUGACCUCAGCUUUUCCCAAGGUAAAAUCGACCAAUAGGCUCUCACAGAGAUGGUACAUUUUCAAACCCACCCCUGAACACCUCUAGUGGUUUCAACAUCUUCCAGAGAGUUCUCCUGGUUAAUAUUAAUUUAUAAUACAUACAUACAGUACAUAUAUACAGAGAUAGAUAAGAUAGGACUGUAAGUUGUGAGGGGAUCAGCCUAUUGCCACGAUGACAGCAGCAACAGUCCCUUGGAGAAUGACAACGGCUGCAUCUGAAAUGAAGCCCUAUUCCCUAUUUAAUGCAUUACUGUUGACCGUCAGGUCCGUGUUAAACAUAGUGCACUAUAUAGGAAAAACGGUGCCAUUUUGGAUGCAUCCAAUGUGUUGGUUGUUCAACAAUCGCUGUGCGAGGAGCAGCAGAGGUGGUUUGAUGGGUCUCCAAAGCAACAAGCCCAAGCCUCGCCUGACAGACUUCAACCUAACCACACUAUUUCUCCCAGAAAUGAAUCAUUCAUAAUUCUCCUGUUUAAAUAAAGCUCAAUCAACCCCAAGAAAAAUAACUUGCGUUAUGAUAAUUAUUUAGAAAACAAAUAUUAGUCUGGCGUUAACUUGCACAGCCAGAUUUAUUUAGACACACCUGUCUGGUUCCACAAGACUAGGAUGGGACUUCUGGUUCCCUGUCUGGCUGGCUAUAACCCAGUGACUUCUGGUUCCUUUUCUGGUUAUAACUCAGUGACUAUGUUGGGCCUUCUGGUUCCUUGUCUGGUUAUAACUCAGUAACUAUGUUGGGCCUUCUGGUUCCCUGUCUGGUUAUAACUCAGUGACUAUGUUGGGCCUUCUGGUUCCUUGUCUGGUUAUAACUCAGUGACUAUGUUGGGCCUU
ensembl:lncRNA